GCGUUAAUCGGAAUUACUGGGCGUAAAGGGUGCGUAGGUGGUUUGAUAAGUUAUCUGUGAAAUUCCUGGGCUUAACCUGGGCUGGUCAGAUAAGACUGUUGGACUCGAGUAUGGGAGAGGGUAGUGGAAUUUCCGGUGUAGCGGUGAAAUGCGUAGAGAUCGGAAGGAACACCAGUGGCGAAGGCGGCUACCUGGCCCAAUACUGACACUGAGGCACGAAAGCAUGGGGAGCAAACAGGAUUAGAUACCCUGGUAGUCCACGCUGUAAACGAUGUCAACUAGUUGUUGGUCAUAUGAAUAUGAUUAGUGACGAAGCUAACGCGAUAAGUUGACCGCCUGGGGAGUACGGUCGCAAGAUUAAAACUCAAAGGAAUUGACG
rnacentral:rRNA from 1 species